rnacentral:rRNA from 1 species
UGGGGAAUCUUGCGCAAUGCGCGAAAGCGUGACGCAGCAACGCCGCGUGGGGGAAGAAGGCCUUCGGGUUGUAAACCCCUUUCAGGAGGGACGAAGGUGUGGCGGCGAAUAGCCGGCCACACUGACGGUACCUCCACAAGAAGCCCCGGCUAACUACGUGCCAGCAGCCGCGGUAAUACGUAGGGGGCUAGCGUUGUCCGGAAUCAUUGGGCGUAAAGCGCGCGUAGGCGGCCCGGCAAGUCCGCUGUAAAAGUCAACGGCUCAACUGUUGAAUGCCGGUGGAAACUGCCGGGCUAGAGUCCGGAAGAGGCGAGUGGAAUUCCUGGUGUAGCGGUGGAAUGCGCAGAUAUCAGGAGGAACACCGAUAGCGAAGGCAGCUCGCUGGGACGGUACUGACGCUGAGGCGCGAAAGCGUGGGGAGCGAACAG